UUUUUCUUAAAUCAAACUUGUAAAUAAACUUAACCAUAUUGACUUAUAUUUCAAAAGACAAAAAGAACUAACAACUUCACUCAAAAUUUUGGCCUUUUGUGCCCUUUUCUUAUUAAACUUUUUUUAAAAGCAAAUUCACCAAUUUCUUUGAAAUUUUUACCAUGGACUACGAGGUUUUGGUCCCUCAUUUUUAUGUUGGUAAGUAGGCACAAGACCGAAGGUCCUGUCAAACACAAAAAU
rnacentral:lncRNA from 1 species